CAGAUCUGUCAGUCAAGCCAGCAGAAGCAACAAGCACCAUGACCCUCAUCACCAUCCUCAUCUGGACGCUGACCUGCUGCUGUUUUACAGGAUGCAGCGCUCAGAUCACUGUGACUCAACCUGCAGUGGAGACAUUUACACCAGGAUCCACUGUCACUAUCAGCUGUACAACAAACCAGGAUGUUUCCAGUGACUUUUUUGGCGAGUAUAUGUCCUGGUAUCAGCAGAAACCAGGACAGCCUCCAAAGCUCCUGAUAUAUGAGGUGGAUAGUCUUGAGUCAGGAACUCCAGCUCGGUUUAGUGGCAGUGGAAGCGGCUCUGCCUUCACUUUGACCAUCAGUGGAGUUCAGGCUGAAGAUGCUGCAGUUUAUUACUGUCAAAGUUUCCAUGUAGUAAAUAGUGCCUCAGUGUUCACACAGUGAUUAGUAGCCGUACAAAAACCUCCCUCAGUCAGACUGCAGACACUCUGAGCUGUUAGAGCAGAAACUGAACAGACUCUGAUACAGACCUCUGAACACAGAGAUGAAACCUCACCAAGGCCUGAAGCUCAGCAGUAAAUUUUUAUAAUUAACUACAAUUAAUAUUAUCUCUUUUAUAUGAAUGGUUUCUUACAAUCAAAAACAGUCCAUUAUGAACGUAUAUGUUUCUGUGUCCAUUUGUUUCAGAAAACACAACAUAGUUCUUUUUUAGCUUUUUAUUACCAGCAUAAUUUUAAUUUGGAAGAUCAAUCAAAUUAAACUUCUAUAAAUAUUCCCUUAAUGUUUGCAGCAUCAAGUUUAAAAACUAAAUGAGGUUGAAUUUAUCUGAACAGUUUAUUGGUUUCCUCUGAAGUUUCACUAGGAAAAUGAUUAUUUCCUUUUAAAUGUGAUCUGGUAAAAGAAACAACGUCAGUUUUGAUUCAAAUGUUUCACGAAACACAAACAACCACUGACAACGUAAGGCAGGGUGUCCAAAGGGAGGUUCAGGGGCCUUUAGUGGACCAUUGAAUGUUUCCUAAUUACCAAAAACAUCUUCUGACAUGUUGGGUACAUCUUUUAAUCUUUUAAUAAACAAGGUUGUUGCA